rnacentral:misc_RNA from 1 species
CCUACUUGAAUAACUCCACUUCAAAUUUCAGGGUAAUCAUGCACGUUUUAGCCUCUUUAUUCUCUCAAGGGCACCAAGAUGGCCUGCACCAUCCUUAGCAGCUGCGGCAUCAUCUCCACCCUCAGCUUUUUCAGUCUCUACUGCCAGAAGAAAGCGACUCCAAAGACAGCAGUUGGAACAUCUUUUUGUGUAAUUUCCACUUUUUCAUCAUCUUCAGAGUCGCUUUCUUCUGGCAGUUCAAUGUCUUCUUGGUUUGCAUUAACCUUCACCGCAUCAGGCCGUGAUUCCACCCCAGCACUCACAAAGCCCACCGUUCUGCCACUAUCUUUAGCUGUAGUAUUAUUGGCCACUGGGGCUAAUUGCCUCUCUAGAGCAACCAUUUCAUCUUCAGGGACCCCAGCCUGUUUCAAUUUGUCUUUUGCCUCGUCAAUAUUUAACCUUUGAUCCUUCUGCAUUAAAUACUCCG